GUAUUUGAACGUGCAGCUAUCUUAUACGCACAAAUGUUACACAUAUUAUAAAAACAUACAGACAAUACCUUAAAAGAAAUAACAUUAAAGCAUUUAUCAUAGAACUUCUAAUAUUUUUUCUGCCUCCCUUCUUGCCCCCAGAUCCCUGGAGCACCCCUGGGGCUGGUCAUCCCUCUCUGGUCCCCUGUUCAGAGGUCAGCUGAGCUUGGAAGGGCCUGGCUCCUGUGGGUUUGACACACGAAGCCAUGACCCUGGGCCUCCGUCUCCCAGCUGUAACAUGAAGAAAGGAAGACUUUCCUCAAGGAGCGUAGUACAACAUUCACUGAAAUCAAGGAUGUAAUGCUGAGAGUGAAACGGCACUGGGAGCAGGGCUUGGUGGGAGUGCUGCCCCCUCAUGUGCCCUGGAACCUCAGACUGUGGAAGCAGAGUGGAUUGCCUACUCAGAGGGGAUCGGGCCUAGAAUAUUUUCUGAAAGUGGAUGAGGCUGAGUAGCUCAUGUGCUGUGGAAGGGACUCCUGCAAACGAGGACAACUUAGGUUUAUCGAGUGUCUUCUACGUGCUGGACCCGUGAACAGCACACACCGUGCCUCCUCUCCUGGAUUCCAGUCAUUCCCCAGACGGACACAGGUACCCGUCAACCUGGGCCAGACUUGGCUUCUUGUCCCCUCUCCUGGGAGUCCCUCACCUCUCAGACUCCGAUUUGGACCUGGAGUUAGGAUCUGGGGCUCUGAGCCACUAAGUGGAGGUGCAAACUGUGCGGGCAGAUUUGGGAUCUCCUGGGGUCCCUGA
rnacentral:lncRNA from 1 species